AUGGCCAUUAUGAGCCGCUCCAUCGCCAGCGCCCCCAUGGCACGUCCCCUCUGUUUCGGUUCCGUGAAGCGCGACGCAGAUGCAUCGACUCCCAUGUCGGCGGAAGGCGAAUGUUCAUCCCAGUCCCGGCAUCAGGAUCAAGAUUCAGAAGCAGGCGGGAAAAGGAUGAAAUACUCAUCAGGGCCAGAUCUUCCAGAGGUUGCCAUUACACCGGUUAUUGAAGAACUCAGUUUUCAGUUGUCUUCAGCAUUGGCAACAUACCGCUUCCCGUGCUCACUUUUAUCUGAUCUGAGUGGGAACUCAAUUCGGCAUCUACACCUUGCGGGUUGCGCCUUUGGUCCCGCGGCCAAACUCAGCUGCUUGAGAAGCCUUACACAGCUUCACCUGUAUCAUGUGGGCAUCAAGGAGGAUGAAUUAGGUUGCCUUCUUUCCAGUUGUCCUGUUUUGUAG
rnacentral:rRNA from 1 species